rnacentral:lncRNA from 1 species
GCUGCUGCUGCUAUUGUGGAUACUCUUGCUGCUGCUGCUGCUGCUCUGGAUCACCCCAGAGCCCGGGAACCAGCCUGAGCAGCGGGAAUCUAGAACACCGCCGCCACCAGCAGCACGGCGCAAGGAACUGGAGUCAUUGAAAGGAGCUGGGACCAAAACUGAAACAGCUGUAACAGCUGGAGGCUGGGGUUAGAGGGAGAAAUGCUACUGGCAAAUUGUAUUAAGUUAAGGGGUACACUUUGCCCUUUGAGUGAGCUUUGGAAGGGACUGGCUAAGAAUCAAAGGAGAGACAGAGCUGUAGCAAAAUAAAGGUUGGUUAUUUUGUUUUGUU